UGCGAGAGUAAAUUUCCAUGCACAUGGCAACGAAUAUAGAAGACUCUGGAGAUCCCCAUUCUGCCUCUUUCCUGUUCUAAUUCUCUGGACUGUGGAUUUACACCUAAAAGGAGCAUCUUGAACUAUGGAUUGAGGACAUUCCAAUCUUCUCUUCUUGAUUGCGGGCUGUACUUCUGACAUCUCCAUUGGACCCAUGUGAAUGGCAAAGUGAUGAUCAGAAUGCCUGUUUUUUCCCUCUUUCAUAUCAAGGCAGGGAGCCUGAAACUUGCUGAGAUAGCACACAGUGCAGGAUCACUAAACAGGCAAACUCUCACUGAAGUAACUGGAAAUCCGUAACCCAUUAUCCUAGCAGUAAAGAAGAGGAAAGUGUUGUGAAUAUCAUCAUCACAGAGAAUUAUGCACGGUGAUCUUGUUUUGUCUCAGUUGUUUUUAGCCCAGUUCCAAAGCAGGUAAGACCAAGACCAGACCAAGAUCUGGAGUUUUGGCUGGGGAUAUGCAUGUAGACCUGGAUUUUAGCUACUGAAAGGAUCACCUUAUGUGAUCUUUACAUUUGAUGAGGUCAGGCCUUUUUGCCUUUUCUGUGCCUCAGCUGUCUUAUGCAGUGUAAGUCCGUCUCCUGAAACAACUCUAAUGUUUCUUAUUACCUUAAACAAGGAGAUACGGGUUUUGUCAUCACAGCAGGCAGGAGCAGCCCUAGACAAGCUGCCAGCAACUGGCGCCCUAGGCAAAAUGCGCGAUCGGUGCGCGAUCAGCAUCCCCGCUUCCAAAGCCCUCAACGGCCAUUUAUCUUGGCACCCUAGGUGACCGCCUCGUUCGCCUGUAUUGACGGGCUACCACUGACAGCAGGUCAUACUAUUCAAUCUCCUUAGACUUUCCAGUGGGUGUUAUGCUUAGUCAUGUGGAUUUGCUAGGUCAGAGGUGGCAGAAGAUCAUUUUGAUCCAUAAAAACAUUAUCAGGAAUGGAUGAUAUUGAAAUAAGCCUAGAGGGGCGUCAGAAUGAUCGGACUAAUACAUGUUCUUGGAGACUGAGAUUUCUCUUGUUGGCUCCCCUACCUAGAUUAAAAUUGAGAUUGCUGUGGGCUAAUUGCUAAUGAUCUUUCAUUGGACAUUUGGAGAGGCUAGUGAUUGCUAUCCUUUUCUUUGGGAACUUAUACCUGUGGCUUUGGAGAAGAGGGCAUUCAUUGCCUUCCUGCUUCUGGUCCCUUGACAACAUACUAACGAGACCCGCUAAGGGGGGAAAAGGCCAUGCUAUUUCUGGUACAGUUAAAAGGCAGGUUUAAAAAAUUAGUCUACAUGUAUCAUUGUAAACAUUUUUUUCUUGUUUCUUCUACUGAGAUGUAGUGCCCAUCUUUAAAAAAAGGGAAGAAGGACAAUCCAGGGAUCUACAGACUGGUCUGCCUCACCUCAGUUGUCAGAAAAAUCAUGGAGGAGAUCCUCAAGAAAUCCAUUUUGAAGAAUUUGGAAGAGAGAAAAAUGAUCAGAAAAAGUCAACAUGAAUUCACAAGGGCAAGUCAUGCUUGACCAACCUGAUCGCUUUCUCUGACAAGAUAACUGGCUCUGUGACAUGAUAAACCUGGACUUUAGCAAAGCUUUUGA